UCGCCUGUUUAUCAAAAACAUCGCCUAUGGAAAUAGAUCAAUAGGUCGCGCCUGCCCAGUGAUGAAAAUUAAACGGCUGCGGUACUCUGACCGUACAAAGGUAGCAUAAUCAUUUGCCUAUUAAUUGUAGGCUAGAAUCAACGGCUGGACGAAGGAAGAGCUGUCUCUUUAAUUUGAAAUUGAAAUUAAUGUUUUGGUGAAGAAGCCAAAAUAAGAGAGUGGGACGAGAAGACCCCGUUGAGCUUUAGUAAAAGUUUUAUACUAAUAAGAUAUUUUACUUUGGUUGGGGCAACUAGUAUUAAAAUUAAACAAUAUUAUUAUCUACGAAUUGAAUCUAUUUGAAAAGUUGACCCAAAUUAUAUUGAGUAUAAGAAAAAGUUACCACAGGGAUAACAGCGUAAUUUCUUUUGAGAGUACAUAUUGACAGAGAAGUUUGCGACCUCGAUGUUGGAUCAAGAUAUCCUAAAGGUGCAGCAGCUUUUAAGGGUUGGUUUGUUCAACCAAUAAAAUCUUACGUGAUC
rnacentral:rRNA from 1 species